UCGAGAAUAAUUCACAAUGGACGAAAGUCUGAUGGUGCAACGCCGCGUGGAGGAUGAAGGCCCUAGGGUCGUAAACUCCUGUCAUUUGAGAGUAAGACCUGGCAGUGAAUAGCUGACAGGGUUGAUAGUAUCAGAAGAGGAAGGGACGGCUAACUUCGUGCCAGCAGCCGCGGUAAUACGAAGGUCCCGAGCGUUGUUCGGAAUCACUGGGCGUAAAGGGAGCGUAGGCGGUUAGGUAAGUCAGAUGUGAAAUCCCGGGGCUCAACCUCGGAACUGCAUCCGAUACUGCCUGACUAGAGUAAUGGAGAGGCAGAUGGAAUUCUCGGUGUAGCAGUGAAAUGCGUAGAGAUCGAGAGGAACACUUAUGGCGAAAGCAAUCUGCUGGACAUUUACUGACGCUGAGGCUCGAAGGCUAGGGGAGCGAAAGGGAUUAGAUACCCCCGUAGUCC
rnacentral:rRNA from 1 species